CAUGUUUUCACUUUGGUCUAAAAUUUGAAUUUCACACUUUCAUGAAUAACCCUGUGUAUGUUUUGUCUUUCUUAAGUAAAUGACAAAUCAUUAUGCAGAUGCCAUCACUAAAAAGCACAUGCUUUAGAUUUGAAUCAGGUUUGGAAUGAAGCAUGUCUGCAACUCUUUAUGCGUUUGCUCUGGGGUGGUGCCAAAGUAAGAGACUGCUCAUUUCCAGAAAAGGUAAAUAAAGUAUUGACAGAUCCGGUUGUAGCUUUAUCUACAGUUACAUUUUCUCCCCCAAAUUGUCAGUUAUUUUGAGGAUUGUGCAUGUAAAACAAAGCUUAAAAAGUAUGGAUUAAAGUAUGGGUAUAAUGCGG